rnacentral:rRNA from 1 species
UACGUAGGGUGCGAGCGUUGUCCGGAAUUACUGGGCGUAAAGAGCUCGUAGGUGGUUUGUCGCGUUGUUCGUGAAAACUCACAGCUCAACUGUGGGCGUGCGGGCGAUACGGGCAGACUGGAGUACUGCAGGGGAGACUGGAAUUCCUGGUGUAGCGGUGGAAUGCGCAGAUAUCAGGAGGAACACCGGUGGCGAAGGCGGGUCUCUGGGACGGUACUGACGCUGAGACGCGAAAGCGUGGGGAGCGAACAGG